GAGGAGCUAAGCACAGAAGGGUGCGGUUGGGAAGGUGUUCUCCUCUUAGAUGAGCUUAAAGAGCCCAGCAUUUGAUAAAAAUGAGAAUAUAUCGCCUCAAGCAGAAGCAGAUGAAGAUAUGGGAGAUGAAGUAGACAGUAUGUUGGAUAAAUCUGAAGACAUGAAGUAGGCAGUAUGUUGGAUAAAUCUGGAGGUCUCUGCUAAGAAAAACUGAGAACUUCACUGUAAGUGCAAGAGUUUGAACAGACUGGCUCCUAGCAGAAAUCAGGAAGGCCAAGGAAAUGGUGACCCUGAAAGUAUUCUUGGGGCCUGGGGAUGUGAGGUGUGAGUAAACUGGACUUCACUUAGUGGAUGAAACAGACAAGAACCUCUUCUGUGCAACUGCUUCCCACCAGGAAUUUAUUAAAAAGAAACUGAAGACC
rnacentral:lncRNA from 1 species